rnacentral:rRNA from 1 species
UACGGAGGGGACUAGCGUUGUUCGGAAUUACUGGGCAUAAAGCGCACGUAGGCGGAUUUGUAAGUCAGGGGUGAAAUCCCGGGGCUCAACCUCGGAACUGCCUUUGAUACUGCAAAUCUCGAGUCCGGAAGAGGUGAGUGGAAUUCCUAGUGUAGAGGUGAAAUUCGUAGAUAUUCGGAAGAACACCAGUGGCGAAGGCGGCUCACUGGUCCGGUACUGACGCUGAGGUGCGAAAGCGUGGGGAGCAAACAGG